UUUUUUUAACAAAUUUUGAUUUUAAUAUAAUUGUUUUCCUUUGUCAGCUAGGUGGCACUAUGGAGUCCCUGAAUUCAGAUUCAGCCUUCAAAACCAUGUGGUGUGACUCUGGGCAAGUCAUUUAGCUUUGGAAUCAUGGCAAGAUCAAAUAAGCUUCCCAGACUCUGCCUCCCUCCCUGUUACCUGAAUCCCAGAGACAGUGAAAUAAGGAAUCUCAAAUUUGACAGAGAUGGGAGGUCGGCCCUCCACCUCCUCCUUCUCCACGCUGGGAACUGUUUUCUACCAGCUGAUUUUUUGGACCCAACUGCAGGAUUUUACACUGACAUCCUAGGAGAUCUAGCUUGGAGAGAGCUUUCUGGAUCACGCUCUUAUCAAACACGGUAGCACAGCUUCGGGGUAGACGAUGGACUGGGGAAGUGCAAGG